AUUGAACGCUGGCGGCAGGCCUAACACAUGCAAGUCGAGCGGAUGAAGGGAGCUUGCUCCUGGAUUCAGCGGCGGACGGGUGAGUAAUGCCUAGGAAUCUGCCUGGUAGUGGGGGAUAACGUCCGGAAACGGGCGCUAAUACCGCAUACGUCCUGAGGGAGAAAGUGGGGGAUCUUCGGACCUCACGCUAUCAGAUGAGCCUAGGUCGGAUUAGCUAGUUGGUGGGGUAAAGGCCUACCAAGGCGACGAUCCGUAACUGGUCUGAGAGGAUGAUCAGUCACACUGGAACUGAGACACGGUCCAGACUCCUACGGGAGGCAGCAGUGGGGAAUAUUGGACAAUGGGCGAAAGCCUGAUCCAGCCACGCCGCGUGUGUGAAGAAGGUCUUCGGAUUGUAAAGCACUUUAAGUUGGGAGGAAGGGCAGUAAGUUAAUACCUUGCUCUUUUGACGUUACCAACAGAAUAAGCACCGGCUAACUUCGUG
rnacentral:rRNA from 1 species